GAGGAUCGCUUUAGCUUGAUGUGUUAGCAUGGAAUAAUGAAAUAUGACUCUAGUCCUAUUUUCGUUGGUUUAGGUACUUCAGUAAUGAUGAAUAGAAACGGUUAGGGGCAUUUGUAUUUGGUCGCUAGAGGUGAAAUUCUUGGAUUGA
rnacentral:rRNA from 1 species